GCUUCACCUCAGACGGCCCCACGCAGACGCAAACCUAUCGUACAAAAUGCUUACCACGUGUUCCUUCACACGCUUCAGUGUACCGGUAGCUAGAGAGCUCUGCACUUCGCGGCGCUCCCAGCGCACCGGUUCCCGCGUUGCGCGUGCGAAACCCUCCGCCGCGUCCAACUUCGAACUAAAUAACGCUAUGAAAGCUACCGCAACUCUAGGUGCGUAUACAGUAAUUGUGGGAUUUUUUUGACGUUCUUACGCCUAUCCACGUGCAUUCGCACUGUGGCGACUCGGAAAUCUGCGUGCCUAGUGGCUGACCGCGUUUUAAUCCGAUCCGAACAGUUGCGACCCUCCCGUCGCAAGCGGCGAUUGCCAUGCCGAGCUAUGACCAAGACAUCAUCGAGGUAGUGUUAGUUUCGAUAUCAAUUUGGGGUUUUCUAACAUUUAGCUCUAGAUGACGCAGCUUGCGGGAGUUCCCACUCCGCUUUUGUAUUUUGGUUUUUUGACCACUUCCCUGGUAUUUGCUGCUGGCACGGUAAGGACUUGCCUCGAAUCACUCCAAACCAUUGACUAAUUUGAGAUUACAGUACAUCGCUCUCAGUAAGAUCAAGUUGAUUUGAUGAGCUAAACGCUCGCUUAGAUACCUCUACAAUCCUCAAACCACGGUGGGCGUGGUAUCGACAAUAGUUUCGAUGAUAGAAGACUCGUAUGAUGCAAUUCUAUCAUCGGCCUUUACUCACAACUUAGUAUACUACGCGGCGUUAAGUGCUCGGGGAGAUCACGCUCGCAUCUCGCUCUACGUAAUCCCCUGCGUGGCUAAAACACAAAUAUUUCAUACAUUUCCUCGUCUCACCCCUAGCCCGGGUUUGUUAACGGUUUGUUCACUCGCAAACAUGCAACCUGGAUAGCUUUAUAGCUCAGUCGUAGACACAUGAAACUGAUCGGUCUAAUCAGCGGCACGCUCCACGACUCUGUUAUACAUUCCUAACACUGACCUUUGACCGACGUUAUCGCGGCGUCCCACUUCCAACUGUCAACAUUCGUUAAGUCUGCAAAUACUUGAGAAAUCAUAAGAUACCAUCUCCAAGUGACCGUCUUCACGCUUCGAUCGAGUGAAAAGCUUUUCGAAACAGCCCUGUGAAAGUAAUAAGAAUAAAACAACGAAACAAUUUUAAAAAGUACCUUCGUGGAGUUGCACUGGUUUGCACUCGUCGGAAAAAUGUGGGAAAGGAAUUUUCUGUGCAACUUCGGGCAAAUGUUCUCUAGUUGAUCGCCCUGUGCAAAUAUUAAAACUGAUAGUGGGGCGCUUUUGUAAAUUCACCUUCGAAGGAUGCUGCUGUCGUCGAACUGUCCACAUCAGUUCAACGUCCAACUGCUGAGAACGUCCCGACAAAAGUUUAACAUGUCCAUGGCAAACGAACUCUGUGCCACACUG
rnacentral:lncRNA from 1 species